rnacentral:lncRNA from 1 species
UAUAUUUGAAAAUGUGAGUGAAUUUUGAUUUUAGCUUGUCUUAUUUUAAUUAGAACAUAAAAUUUGAGCCCAAUCCUAUGAACCCACUAACCAUUCUUACUCAUGAACUACAAGACACAAACCCUAGAGACUAAAAAAGGGGGCAGCCAUCAAGCUUAGCAUAUACAAAAAAAAAAGCCGUCACCUUCUUCUUUUUCACAUCUAGGUCAGACGCCACCCACAUUCCAACCAACCACAUACAACCGCCGCACACCCCACUGUCACCUUCCAUCACCGCCACCUCUAAGCUCCCUCAUCUACACCUUUACUAACCAGCAAUAACGACCACCCUUCUCCCUUAGCAAAACCAGCAGCGGCUGCUGCUUCUUCGAUUACCAAACGACCGUUGUUGCUUCGUCUUCAACCUCAGCCGCCGGAAAACCAUCGAAUACUCAUCACUCCCUCCAUCUCCAAUCUACAUAACACAACCAAUGACCCCACUUGGAUCCAGCAACCAUAACAACACCCAAAUGACCCCUGAAUUUCUUCUUCUUCGCUAAAAAAACAGAAGCAACAACGAGUUCGAAUUCGAGUUCUGUUUGUUUUUCCAAUGAAGUUGGUCGAUCGAGUACGAGUUUGUUGUUUUGAGUUCGUCGAGGUCCGUUCUUGGUGGCCUAAUUUGCGGUUCUGAUUUAGAGUCAUCAUUAGCGUUGUUUCUCGGAUUGAAAUUAGAUGCCGGAGAUUUGUUUUUAUCCUCAAUCUUCAAUGAAUCAAUUGAAAAUGCAUUUCAAGUUGCUGUUGUUGCUAUUGUUUCUACAGAAUUUUUGGCUGAUCACCAACUUUAGUUUUUUCAACCUUUUCGAGAAUUUCUCGUUCGUUUUGUUCCGGCAGUGAGUUUGUCGAUUCAAGGUUUGUGAGGUCGAGCGUUAAUCCACAUUCCUGCCUCUUUGCUGCUAAUAUCUCGUUGACGUUUUGGGGUCAAAAUAGCUUGCUUGUUGUUUCCACAGUUGCUACUUAAGGAAAACUGCUAAAGUGCCGAUUCGAAUUCCUGUCCGCGGUUCGUCCAAAUUUUGAGUUCAAAACGCCUUCACAAUUAAAUUUUCCAGAUUCAUCUGAGGUUCAUUUCUCAUUCCUUCUACCUUGUUUUGCAUAACAUCGUGAUUUCGUCGUUUUCUUAGUCUAUCUUUGCUUUGCUUCAUUGAUGGUAUGAGUUAGCAUUCGAUGGCUCUAUCUUAAAUUUUUGAGCGCUUUGGCAAUAGUUAUUAGACAUUUUGUUGCUGCUUAUUCGUUUGUAUGUUGUUUGGUGAAUCUAUUGGAUAGGUUUGAUGGUUAGAAUGCAUGUUAGUCGUCUGUUUCAAUUAUUCACUGAAGGAUAUGUGUUUAAGGCAUUUUUACUAAUAUUUCGGUAACUCCUGAGUUAAAUUAACUUAUUUAUCGAAUUGGAUAUGCUUAGGUAGUAAAACAAGUAUCAGGCAUUGGGGUUGGAUACUUUGCUUGAAACGAAAAUUAGAAUGAGAAUUGUUUGUUUCGUUUUGUUUUAUUGCUUCAAUCGCUAGGAGGCAACACUUGGGUAGGCCGGCUUUGGAAUUUUGUUAGUUUUGAGGCGAGAGGUCGUUCCCGUAGUUAAAUUUAUAUGGGGAAUGCCCCAAAGGAUUUGUAUAUAUUUUUUUUCGGGGUAUGCCCCAAAGUAUUUGUAAUUGGAGACGAAAAGUAGAACUCUUAGUAUUCUUAUUUUUAUUUUCACUUUUUAUUUUUCUUAUAUUAGGUGGGGACGACCUUGAACCUCGUGUGUGUUUAUUUUCUUUAUGUGUUUUUAUUACCAAGAUUCGAAUGUUUUAAAUCCAAAUUGAUCAAGUACGCAACCAUACUAGUUACGGGGCUUGGGGAGUGUCUAACACCUUUUUCCCGAGUCAAAUGAACCCUCUUACCUGAUCUCUGGUGCAGACUUUAGUUUUGGAGUCUCAAGUGUUUUAAAAGGAAAAAUAGUUUUAGAAAAAGGGUGACCUGACACACCAAAAUCAAAUUUCAGGUGGCGACUCUGAGUUUAUUUCCUUUUGAAACACAAAUUUUUGUCACUUUCAAAAUUGAAAAACCCCUUUUUCGAGCUUUUACUUAAAUCCUUUUAUUAAUUUAAGAGGGCUUAGUAGAAUUUGGUUAAAAAAAGGGGUGUGACACUCGUUAAGUCUUUGAAUACAGGUGAUUACCUUAAGCAUCUGGAAGAAACCUUUGAUAUCCUAAGGAAGCAUAUCAUGAAGCUUAACCUUGAAAAAUGCGCAUUCAGAGUCAGCUCUAGCAACUUUUUAGGAUUUUUGGUAUCACAAAGGGGCACUGAGGUUAACCCCGAUAAGAUCAAAUGCAUCGACAAAAUAUUGGAUAGACUAUCGAAUGUGAAGUAAGUUCAAAGGCUCAUAGGGAGAUUUGCAGCUUUGAGCAGGUUCAGUACCCGGUCAUGAGAAAAAUGUCAUCAUUCUUCGCACCGCUUAAAAAGAAAAAUAAUUUUGAAUGGACAACGGAAUGCCAAUAGCCUUGAGGGAUUUGAGGUACUUAUUAAACCCUCCAUUACAUUGAAACCCAAAGAAGGUGAAGCAUUGUUAGUCUACCUCGCGGUCUUCGAAGUUGCGAUAAGGGCGAUUUAAGUCUGUAAGGACGAACGUACGUAAUCUCCCAUUUAUUAUGUUAGUAAAAUUUUAACAAGAGAAGAAACUCGCUACCCACAUUUGGAAAAGCUGGCCUUAGUUCUUGUAUUCGCCGCUCGUAAGAUAAGGCCUUACUUCCAAUGUCACCCGAUAACCAUGAUGACCAUUUUCCCUUUGUUAAACAUCCUUCAAAAACCCAAGCUCUCAGGCUGAUUGGCCCAAUGGUUCAUCAAAAUGAUUAAUUUCGGCAUAGAAUAUAUAAACCAAGGGCUGUAAUUUAGUCACAAGUCUUGGCUUUCUUUAUGGCCGAUUUCAGUCCGGGAUUGCUGCUUUUGGCAACCAAAGAGGCAGUAAUGGUGUCGGAGUCAACAUUAAUUGUUUGGACCUUAUUUAUGGAUGAAGAUUGUAAAGUAAAAAAGUACGGGCUUGGUAUAGUAUUAAUCGCGCCUUCGGGAGAAACCCUCAGGCAAGCCAUCAAAAUAGUUCCUUUAACUAAUAAUGAAGCAAAAUUUGAAGCUUUGAUAAUAGGACUCAAAUUUUCCUGCAGACAGUUUCGGAGGCUAACGAAAUCAAAUGCGAGUCACAGUUGGUGGUAAAAUAGGUCUACAAGAUCUUUGAGACUAAGAGGACCAUAUGCAACAAUACGUGGUGAAGGUCUAGGAUCUGUUAGUGUGAUUUUAUGAAUGGUCAAUUACUCAUAUCUCGAGGGAAGAAAACGCGGAAGCAGACACAUUAGCUAACCUUGGAUCAUCGACAUAAAUAAAGGGAUCAGAGUCCGAGAUGUUAGUACAACUGAUGAACUUGAUCCUAGAUACAAAUGGUUAUUACGAGGUAAAUAUGACUAAUUUGGUUUUGUACUAGAGGAAUGAAAUCAUCGAUUAUCUCGAGCAAAGGAAGCUACCCGAAGAACCUUAAGCAUCCCUGGCGAUGUGCGUCAAAGUAGUUUGAUAUAGCUUCAAGAGAGGUCAAUUGUAUAGAAAAUGUUUUCAAGGCCCGCAGACCUGAUGCUUAGGAGACAUCUAAUGUUGACUAUGUCAAGGAAUCCACGAAAGGAUAUGCGGAAACCAUUCGGUGCAGAUUCCUUAGUACUGAAGUUGGUAAGAGUAGGAUAUUAUUGGGCCCGCAUUGAACAAGAUGCCAAAGACUUUCGUACAAAAAUGUGAUAAAUGCCAAUGCUACACAACGUUGGUGCAUCAACCGGCAGAACCCUAACAUUUGGUUCUGUUCCCAUGGACAUUCAUAAAGCGGGGGGUGGACAUCGUCAGACCACUUCCAUGGCUCCCGGAAAGGUAAGAUUUCUUUUAAUUUUGACUGACUAUUUUUUAAGUGGGUAGAAGCAAGUUCUUACCAGAAGAUCAGUGAGCGUGAAGUGGUAGAUUUAUUAUGGAAAAAUAUAAUUUGUAGGUUUGGAAUACCAAAAGAGAUAGCGUGUGAUAAUGGACCAUAAUUUAUUGGUGCAAAAAUCAAAAUGUUCCUCGAAGUUUGAAAAAUAAAGAAAAUCAUAUCUUCACCAUAUCAUUUGAGCACAAACGGUCAAGCAGAGUCAUCGAACAAGGUGAUUAUACAAAACCUCAAAAAAAGGUUGGAAGCGGCUAAAGGUAAUUGGCCUGAGGAAUUACCUGCAAUUUUGUGGGCAUACCGAACAACGACCAAAUCUAGUACAGGAGAAAUUCCCUUUUCCCUUGUGUGCAAUGCAUAAGCUUUAAUUCCAGUGGAAGUAGGGGAACCCACCUUGAGAUAUUUCACAACAGAUGAAGAAUGAAACACGAAGUAAUGUUAGUCAACUUGGAGCUACUUGAUGAGUGCAUGGACUUGGCAUAUGUAAGAAUGACAUCCGAAACGUAGAUAAUGGAGUGGUAUUAUAAUCCAAGAGCCAACUUCCAUUAUUUCAAAGUAGGAGACUUGGUCCUAAGGAAAGUAACUCAAAACACCCGGGAGCACAACGUGGGUAAACUAGGUCCAGCUUGGGGAGGCCCCUACCGGGUUUCAGCUGUCAUCGAAAAACGGUUCGUAUGAAUUGGAGAAUUAAAAUAGCGAAAUUUUUCCCAUCAAUUGGAGCGUGGCGCACCUUAAAAGAUAUUACUGCUGAUGUACGUCACCUGAACUUCGAGUAUGUACUGCACGUUUUUUUCCUUCAUUCAGUUUUUGUCCCAAUUGGGUUUUUCUAGCAAGGUUUUUAACAAUGCAGUAACAGAAAACAUACUACAAAGAAAGCUUUCACAAUAAAAAUAUGACCUUUAAUAACAAGGAACACAAGUAAAGAUCCACUCCGCAACGUUUAGAUAGUCGUUGGCUCUAUAGAAAAUUCCCAUUAGGAAAUUAGGUUUGCUAUAAGAUAAAGGUUAUCCGGUUGUUCGCAAAUGCAAACCAUUAAUGGAUUGUUAGAUAGUCUUUUGCUCGAUAGCAUAAAUUCCUAAAGGGAAGCGAAGUUUGUUACCGAGCAUAAGAUUGUCUAGCAAUUCAAUAAUGGGAUCUUCGAAGGUGCAAGAAUUCCAUUGUUCCAAUUCGCAUUCUUUGUAUUCGAACACUGGGGGAAUGAUAUGAGGAUAUGGAAACAAUAAUUUUCACGUAGAUCGGGAAACAAAAAACCGGAAACAUAACUGUAUCGUCGGGACCGUAGACUACGCGGACAACAAUGUAGAAACAAAUUGUACAAAUUAGCCGCAAGUAAGGGAAGUUUGUUUUUAGCAUAACAAAUGCAUAUGUACUUUUUGAAAAUAGAAGGAACAAAAUUAAAUGAAAUCCUUUUGUUUUUAUCUCUUUUCUUGUCUGGAAGAUGAAUUAACUUUUUCAUUUAAAAGUUAAACAAGUACUUCAAAAGAUUGAGUUAUUUUGAACGGGAGAUAUCCUCUUCAAGAGCACCGUCAACAUAAGAUGACCCUCUCUUAUAAAAACCAUCACGUUAAAGGGUUGGUUUCGGAAGAAUUUAUUCCAGGAAUCAAAAUGCCUUCGUGAAAAAUACACCCGAAUUUAUAUACAAAAGUAUACAAAAAGUAAACUUGUGCAAAUACUUAUAAAACCCCUCACGUUAAAGGGUUGGUUUUGGAAGAAAUUAUGCCCGGAAUCAAAAUGCUUUCGAAAAAAAUAUACACCCGAAGCUGUAUAUGAAAGGAUGAAAAAAGUAAACUUGCAAAAAUACUUAUCAAAGACCUCACAAAAAAGGGUGGAUGCCUAGCAUGAAAACGCUUUCGGGUAGAAUACACCCAAGGCUUCACAUAAUAAGACACAAACGAAAAACAUUUGCACAAAAUUCAUAAGCAGAAGGAAGAAAAUGCAACGAUUAAAGACUUGCAUGAAUAUUCAAACAAAAGAAAGAGUCAAACAAUACUUGAGAAAAAGAUAUUUUUAUUUACGAUUACAUGCCAAAACGGUAUAGAUACAAGAAUUGUAAAAAGAAAAUAAAAACUAAACUGUAGUAUCUUCGGAACUAGGAGGAAGAGGAGAGUCCACGCCCUCGAAGAGAAGUAGGUAGAUUCGCUGAUAGCUUAGUAUUUUGGUCUUCAACAUUCUUUUUCUGUUCCCGAAAACUUAGAACCGAAACCAGAAGGACCAGGAGCAUCAGACCUCACCAAGAGACCACUUUUAGCAGCUAACUCAAGCUCACAGACCUUUGCAAUUUCAGCAUCAAAGUCAAUGAUACCAGUUUUGUCCUAUUCCAAGGUUUUUCUCCUCAUGUUGUACUUAGCGUAAGUUUUCUCAAUAACGAGGGGAGCCUCUCAAUACUUUAUUUCUUCUUUGAUUAAGGUCAACCUCGGUAGAAAGGCUUUCUCGGGCGGAUCUAACUGUUCUGAGAAUAAUAUCAAGGUCAUAGACAACUGAACUAAAGAGCCUAUUAUGAUCGCUAGUUUUCCUGUACUUCUCCUCUAGCUGGGCAUAUUUCACCCCCGCAGCAGCAAGUACAUCAAUUUUGGAAUUCAAGGCUGCCUCCAAAUUAUUCAAUCUUUUGGCGACUGAAACCUCGCGAUCAGAUGUAGCAAGAACUACAUUAUGGAAUUCAAUCGAUUUAGCUUCAACUUCUUCAAAUUGAACCCUAAACGGUGUGAUAUCUUGGCUAUGAAUUUAUACCUCUUGCUCGUUUUGCAAACGAGCCUCCAGUACAACGACCUCGGUGGACUUGGCUUCCAAUCCUGAGAGGCAAGCGACACUUUGCUCUCACUCUGCCAAAAGCUGAUCCCAUGUAAAAGUAAUUUCUUUCUUCUCACGAAUCAACCUCUGAAGGACCACAGAAGCAAGAAAGUUGACCUACAGAGCAAGAAAGGUAAAUUGAGGAUAUGUACAAAAAUAAAAGAAACAACAAAGGAAGAAAGAAACGUACCUCUACAACAUUGUGCAUGUCAUUGUUCAACAAACACUCUAUUGAGAGUGCCUGAAUCAUUUUCCAAUCUUUCUCUAAAGCCGAAGGUUUCAAAAAGUAGCAAGCUCUACUAGCCGGGAUAGCAAGUUGCAAUUGAUAGAGAACGAAAGAGUAAUAUUCCUCCUCCAUUAUGGAUCUUUAGAAGGGGAAACAUAACGUUUUCCCAAGAACCCAUGAACUGGGGGACUAGGGAAGAGGAACACCUUCUUCAUGUUCAGGUGCCCGGUGGAGACAAUGUAGCAGUUGCUGGUGGAAGAGUAGUUAAAGAUGGAAAUGAUAUAUCAAUUGGUUGUGUUGGUGAAGAUGGAAAUGAAGUUGAUGGAUUUGAUGUAGUGCUGGUUGUUGGAUGCUCGCCAACCAAAGAUGACAGGGACUCGGUACUCAGCUUGCAAUACUAGGUACAACCAUUAGAACCCAAAAAUGGGACUUGGCAUUUUUUACUAAAUAAAACUUCCCAAAGUGUCGAGAUGUUGUACUUAGUUGGUGUAACUAACUCAACAGAUGGAGAAUUCUUUUAAGUUGAUGAUGAAUGUCACCUUUUGUGUAGAGAAACUCCAUCAUCACUAGCUUUUCUAUCAUCGCAGAUCAUUACAGUGUCUAUGACUGGAUCGGAAGGAGGGCUAGUGAUCAUAAUUUCCGGAGACAACUCGAGGACAAUAGUCUUCACACUCUUAUUCUUUUCCCUAGCCAUAGAAGAAUGCCUUUUUUGGCUACUUAUUCUCCAGUUGGGGACUCCGUACUAAUACACAUUAAGUCUGAAGCUUGUGAGGAGACACAUGUUUGAGUAAGCGCCUCCUGAAUUUUCUUUUUCACAUCAAUAGGAUCAGCCAAGACGUCUUCCUCGGGGAUAGCAACAUAUCCCACAAGUUGACAUGAUUUCAUGAAAAAUAUAGAAGAUAUCAAUGAAUUUCCAUACAUAAUCAGUAAAAACAAGGUUAGUUUGAAUUACCAUGAUUUUUGGCCUUCCACCCAUAUUUUAUGGACAAAUCUUUCCUCGUAUAGGUAUCGGGCCUACUGAUGUCCUAGAUCUUUUGGACCCACUUGCCUAAGCCUUUGACCAUAGGCAGAACCCAUCGGGUUGCCGAAAGAAGCAUAUAAUGAAGGAUCAAUAGAGAUAUGGAAGAAUCCCUAAUCGACUAAAUAUUAUACAAAAAGCUUACGAGUGCGGUUCCACACUUCCGGAAAGUAUGAAGCCGUUGUCGAAAUGAUAUUGUUGGUGGCAAGUGCAAUGAACCAUUCCAUCCAUCCACGAUCAUUGUCGCCAUCCAUGCUAGAUAAUAGAGCAUGGUGACCACACUUAAAGAGGUUUAUCACUCCUCCACGGAAGAUCUUGGGAGAAUAGAGAUUCAUCAUAUGAGCUAAAGAUAGAUCCUUUACCAUUUUCUGGCACAUACGUUGAAAGCAGGCGGAUGUCCUCCAUACAUUAGGACUUACAUGUGCAAACACACCUGGUAGUGGAGGAAAAACUCCACAAUAAUAAAAUCAAGCUCACCAUUCAAAGAGAACACACCCAACGGAAAGGGAAACGUGAAAAAUUAUAUAAAACCCUCAUUGGGUAGGGUAACUUGCUCUGAUAGAUCAGGAGCAGAAAUUAUCAAACCAUGGCAGCAGCAGUCUUCUUUCACAGUAGGAAUGCUAGAAGGAUUGAUGGAAGGAGGAUACCUACUAACUGCCCAUGUAUGAUGGUUGGUAGUAAGAAAUUUCUCUUCAAAGUCUUUUAUGGUGACAAGACUUCUAGGGAUGAUGGAUCCCACUAUUGGAGGAGUAGAGUCCUCCACUUUGUUCUUGUUUUUUGAAGAAGUAGUACGCUUUGAGAAAGAAGCCUUUGUAUAAAAGAAGGAAAUGGUCUUUGCUUGAAGAUAAUUAGGGAAAAGAUGAAGAGCGGGAUGCAAUUCUAAUAAGGGAAUCUUGGAAAAUCAUGGUGUAUGGAGAAAUUUGAGGCAUAUAAGCAAACCUUUUGGGAGCUAAAUUCUUGGCCAUAAUUACCUCGAUAAUCGGCAAAAGCUAUGUUGAAUCUUAGGAUAACACGUGUUCGAGGCAUUAAAUUCAUAAAGACAUGCAUCUAAUCAACUGUUAGAAGCCUUCAGAGGGCGUAGUAACUCCCAUCAAAAGAAUGUUGUACCCAUUUUUCGGCAACACAAAGUUGUGUCUCUGAAAAGUAGGGAACUAUCUGCAUAGGAUAAAAUAUGCUACGCUAGUGGCCAUCCAAUAAAAGGACAAGUGGAACCUAAGACGAGAUAUCCAAGACCGAAGGGAACUAGCCCAUCUAUCACCAAAAAGAAUAAUGCUAAUAAGGAUGUAAUAAAUAUUGCUCGUCCGAUAGUAUUUAAUAGGGAAUAUUCCAUGUCAUUAAGUACGACUGCCUAUCACAAGAAAUUUGAAAUUUAUGCUUACUAUUACAUCUUCAUAAAUGACCCUCGUAAUUGACAUAAAAGAGGGAUACUAGACAAGGAUCUCCUUCCCCAGACAAAGCUAUAAAUUGUGAGCUCAAUUAUCAUUGUUGUAAUGACCCGAUCGGUUGUUUUAAGAAUUAACACUCCAAUCCUCUAUUAACUACUUUCCCCAUAAUUUUUAUGCUAUUUUCAAUUGCCAGAAUGUUAUGCUUUGAGUUUCGAAUUGUUUUGGGACACUUAAUCCCUAAAAGAGAGCUUAAACUUUAGAAUUUGGAUUGUAGUUUGAGCAAUGUGAAGACGGCAUCAGAAUAGAAUUUCGUCAGUUCGGUUAGCUCCUUUGGGUGAUUUUCAACUUAGAGGCGUGUUUGGAUUGUAUUUUAGAGGUCCAUAGCUUAUUUAGGCUUGAAAUGCCGAAAGUGUAAUUUUUGAAGUUUUCGGUUCGAUAGUGAGAUUUUGAUAUUGGGGUCGGAAUGGAAUUUUAGAAGUUGUAUUAGCUCUUUAGUGUUAAAUUUGACGUGUUUGGAAAAUUUCAGGUCAUUCGGGCAAGGUUUCGUGGACUUUUUGAUCGAAAGCGUAAUUGAGAGUUUUUGGAGUUAUUAGGCUUGAAUCCGAUGUUAAAUUGGUGUUUUGAUAUUUUUUUAGCAUUUUGAAGGUAGGAAAAAUUUGAAUGAUGUUUUAGGAUUGGUUGGCUUGUUUGGUUGAGGUCCCGGGGGCCUCGGGUGUGUUUCGGAUGCUCAACGAACCAUUUUUGGACUUGGAGAAGGAUUAGAUUUUUGCUGGUUUGCUGUUGCAGACUUUUCUUCAUCGCGAUCGCGUGAGGAGGCUCGCGAUCACAAAGGCUUAGAUGAGUCAGAGGGGAUUUUAUUCUACAGGAUCACGGGAAAGGGAGUGCGAACACGUAGCAUUGCAAAAGUUGAAUCGUGAACGCGUGGUCUUUGCCGCGUUCGCGAAGAGGAAGAAGUGAUGCAGCGGAGGAGUGGAAGUUUCUCUUCGCGAUAACUUAGAGUUGAGCAGUGUAUCAUUGCGAUCGCGUAGGGAUUAUAACGUUCGUGUAGGGUUAAUUUGGGAGUCAUUGAAGAUGCUCUUCACGAUCGCGUGGGAGUUUCCGCAAUCGCGAUUAAGGUCGCGUCUGGGAUGAACAUAACAUUCAAAAUCAAGAGUUUUGAGUACAUAUCACAAAACUGAAUUGGGAGCUUGGUAGGAGACUAAUUUUGGAAAGAUUUUCAGAGGGAGUUUGCCGGUAAUGAUUGUUAACUCUUUUUCCCUUAUAACCUAUGAAUCUAAACAUGAAUUCAUCAUCUAAUUUCGGAUUUGGGGUGAGAAAUUGGAGAAAUAUUUGGAAAAGUUCAUAGAGCUAAUUUUUGAGUUUUGAUUGGGGAUUUGACAUUGAAUUUGAAUAAUUUUGGUAUAGUUAUACUCAUGAUUAAAUGGGGAUUCAUAAUCCGUAACUUCUACCCGAUUUCGAGACGUGGGCCCGGGGGACUUUUUGGGCAAUUUUAUUAAUUUUGUGUUUUAGCUUCGAAUGAAUUAGUGGAAUCGGUUACUUGAAGUUAUAUUUAUAUUAUGCAAUUGAUUUGAAUAGAUAUGGGCCAUUUGGAGUCGAUUACAAAUGUCAAGAGCGUGGUUUCAUGUUGAUUUUUGAGUGGUUCGAGGUAAGUGGCUUGCCUAACCUUCUGUAGGGAAACUCCCCUUAGGAUUUGGUAUUGUUGAUAUGAAAUAACUUGUACGUGAGGUGACGAGUGCAUACAUGUGCUAAUUAUUGAAAAUUCUAUUUUCAUUGAGUAACUAUAACUGUGUUUUCUUCCCUGUUUAUAUUACUUGUAAUUUAAGCCUACUAUUUGCUUAGGGAAGAAUGUAUAAUUGAUUUAAUUGCUUUACUUUGUCAUAUUGCUUUAUUUGAAUUAUGUGCAGCAUGCUAGGUUAAAAAUGCCUGUUUACAUUGGUAUGAAAUUUGGAUUUAACUGAAUAUUCUUCGUGUUGUUGCUGUGUGUUUACUUUGGGGCUACGGGACGGUAUCCCGAGAGAUCCCCUUGCAUGUUUACUUUGGACCAUGGAUUUGUAUUCCGUUAGAUCCCCCUGCACAUUUAUAUUGGAAUUACGAGACUGCACCUGGUAGAUUCCCCCAGUACUGGGUAUUUAUAAUUGGGACUACAUAUCGGAAUUUUGGUUGGUCCCCGCGCACUAUGAGUUCGAUUAUAGGACGAUACCUGGGAGAUCUACUGGAUAUUUACAUUUGGGGACAACAUGUCGGUAUCCUCAGAGAUCCCCGAUUGUUAUCUCUGUCAUAUUCCUUCUGUGAUUAUUUCAUCUCUGUUAUAGUUGUUGCUACUCUUAUUACCCUGUGUUACUAUCAUACUACUUCUUUUCCUUAUAUAUUUUUGUAUAUGACUGGUAGGGCCCUGACCUUCCUCGUCACUACUCGACUGUAGUUAGCCUUCGCACUUACUGGGUACCGCUGUGGUGUACUCAAGCCCUUUCCUACACAUGUUUUCCCCAUGUGCAGAUCCAGGUUCUUCGACUCAGCCCUACUAUCCUUUAGGCGAGGCUAUUCUUCUGAAACUUCGAGGUAUAUCUUUCGUGUCCGCAAAUCGUGGAGUCUCUCUCCAUUCUCUUUUGUAGUUAUAGCCCUUAUGUAUUUACUUUUGCUUAGACACUCUGGAGUUAGACACUUGUAGUUAUUCAACAACAUGUGAUUUUAAAUAUUUUGGGUUUUAGGAAGUUAUUUAGUUUGAGAGUUAUAUUUUUAUGUGCUAAGCAGUAUUUUAAACCUUCAUUAUGUUUAUUCCACAAUUUUUAUUAGUUUUAUCUGUUGUUUUCCCUUUUCCAAAAUUUUUAGGCUUACCUAGUCGUAGACACUAGGUGCCAUCACGUAGUUCACAAAGGGUGAACAGGGGUCAUGACAAGUUGGUAUCAGAGCUUUAGGUUCAUAGAAAUCAUGAAUCACAAUCUGAUUUAUUAGUGUCUUCCGGAUCGAUAUGGAGACGUCUGUACUUGUCUACAAGUGGCUAUGUAACUGUUAGGAAAACUCCACUUCAUUUGAUCUCCUUGUUAUGCGAGAUUUUGAUAUAACAAUUCUCAACUUUUUUCUUCUAUUCUCUCACAGAUGGUGAGGACACGUGCUACCAAAGAUGAUCAGGC